rnacentral:rRNA from 1 species
GACGAACGCUGGCGGCGUGCUUAACACAUGCAAGUCGAGCGGUAAGGCCCUUUCGGGGUACGACGAGCGGCGAACGGGUGAGUAACACGUGGGUGACCUGCCCUCAGCUCUGGGAUAAGCCUGGGAAACUGGGUCUAAUACCGGAUAUGACUCCAUGACGCAUGUUGUGGGGUGGAAAGCCUUGUGCGGCUGAGGAUGGGCCCGCGGCCUAUCAGCUUGUUGGUGGGGUGANGGCCUACCAAGGCGACGACGGGUAGCCGGCCUGAGAGGGCGACCGGCC